rnacentral:rRNA from 1 species
GGGACGAGCGCUUUUAUUAGACCAAGACCAAUCGGACUUCGGUCCGUAUGCCACGGCGACUCUGGAUAACUUUGGGCUGAUCGCACGAUCUAGCAUCGGCGAUAUUUCUUUCAAGUGUCUGACUUAUCAACUUUCGAUGGUAGUCUAUGCGCCUACCAUGGUCGUAACGGGUAACGGGGAAUCAGGGUUCGAUUCCG